AAUUCCACUGGGUUGUUGCAAGAAAGACUUCAAAGGAGCCCCCAGCUUUCCCCCUUCUCUCUCUCUCUCUCUCUCUCUCUCUCUCUCUCUCUCUGACCCCCUCCCUCCCUCGCUCAUUUAGAGAUCUGAAUUCCAAGAGGUUUCUAUAUUGCCAGUACAAUAAAUUAGUGUCUCCCUUCUCCUCCAGAGCAUCAAGAUUGGGAGAAAAGUAUUCCAAGGCCACCGGGGCAACAUCAAUUUGCACGACAGGAAGAACAGAACAAGGCCGAACAUCAGAUAGGAGAAUUCUAACAGAUUCUGGAAUUGGAGAUGAGUUAUUUGAGUUUGAUCCAACUGGUCUUUUACCCAUAAUGGCUGUUGCGAAUCACCAGCAUAUAAGGAUGAGGGUGAAAUUUAAUAAGGAUGUUUCCAUGGAUCCAGGAAAACAGAAGUAUGAAUUUGCCAAUUAUACAGACAAAUGAUUUUUCCCAAAGCAUUCACUAAAACUAUAUAUCAGCAAGUUGAAAAAGGUCUGAAGUGUGGCUUGUCCAUCCUUAAUUGCCCAUUAUAUUAAAACAGGAUUGGGUCUCCCUUGAGAUAACAAAUGUUUUAAUCUACAACUUCCCAACUCUGUUUUUCAUUAGCCAUGUUGUGUGGGCAGCAAUUUUUGACACUUGAAAUAUUUGGAAGACCAAAGAUUUUCCAUCCCUGUCUCCUUAAGCCUCACAAGGUCUGGAUGUAAUGGGCCGCUGAUGUUUCUUUGUACCAUUUCUGAUCCUUCUGCGAUUCACAUUAUAUAUUUGUGAAAUUCAUGUGCAACUCUGACUGUACCUAGUAUCUCAGGUCGUCUUCUUCCAAGGCUACUGAGGACUCAGCAAGGCAUAUUAGUUAUGAUAUCUGCAAGUCAUAAGUCACUUGAUGGCUUUUGAACAUCAGCAUAACUUACAAGUUGAGAUGGUAGUGAACUACUCACUUUCUCUCCCUCUUAAUAAAUCUUCUGAAUUCCAUAG
rnacentral:lncRNA from 11 species